GCCUUGGCUAACUCUUUUGCCGCUAGGAAUCUCAUUCUGUAUUCCGGGGGAAGUUCUCCUGCCAUGUGGUAAAUAAUCGGGAUUGGGGUGCAAAUGAUUAAGCCUAGUGACUUUCUAAGGUGGUGGUUACAAUGAGAUUUGAUUUUGGCUAGAGCGGAUUUGGACAAGUUUCUGAAAGACGAGCAAGCGUAUUCUAGUCUACUUCUGACAAAGGCCUUGAAAACUAUGAGCCCUCUCUUUGGGCUGAUACCGUAAUAGCACCCACUGAGUAGUCUUAGGAACGCACAGGUUCUGUUUGACUCCGAAAUGGCUUGCUCGAUGUGCACUGAGGCUGAGUUGUUCGCUGAAAUUAUUCUGCCUAGAUAUUUUAUCUGAUCUACUUGCCUAAUAUCGACUCAUUGGUGCUCAAUGUUCAGCUCGGUUCUUCGGAUGCUGAAGUGAACAACUUUGGAUUUGGCUGGGUUGAAAGCAAGGUUAAGCCUGUUGCAUCUUGCCUCAAAGCUGUCUAUUUUUCCUAGGAGCAUACGUUUGGCAAUGGAAAUCACCUUGUCGAAGCAAAUAAUAAAGAAGUCAUCCGCAUACUGAAACAGUAGGCAAUUGCCAUCGU
rnacentral:lncRNA from 1 species